GACGAACGCUGGCGGCGUGCCUAAUACAUGCAAGUAGAACGCAGUUGCGCACGGGUGAGUAACGCGUAGGUGACUGGCUCAAAGGGGGGGAUAACUAAUGGAAACGAUAGCUAAUACCGGAUACUGUGAGAUGGACCUGCGUUGUAUUAGCUAGUGGGAAAGGUAAAGGCUAACCAAGGCGACGAUACAUAGCCGACCUGAGAGGGUGAUCAGCCACACUGGGACUGAGACACGGCCCAGACUCCUACGGGAGGCAGCAGUAGGGAAUCUUCCGCAAUGGGCGAAAGUCUGACCUAGCAACGCCGCGUGUGUGAAGAAGGUUUUCGGAUCGUAAAACUCUUUUGUUAGAGAAGCGGUAUCUAACCAGAAAGCCACGGCUAACUACGUGCCAGCAGCCGCGGUAAUUC
rnacentral:rRNA from 1 species